rnacentral:rRNA from 1 species
AUGGAGACGGCCUUCUUCUCCGCCGCCUCCCUCUUCCACGCCGACGACGACAGCGACGACGACGGCGGCGGCACACGAGACGAGGCGCAGGUGGGCGCCGAGGGGGAGAGCCAGCAGCCGGCGCUGGAGUACGAGGAGAGGAUCCACAAGUUCCCCGGAGUGGACUUGAGCAUCAGAGAAUUCUCAUCUCAUCAGCUAAAUGCCAAUUUGCUAUGGCCUGGGACAUUUUUCUUUGCUGACUGGCUGGUUAAGAAUCCAUCAAUUCUGGAUGGUCAACGGAUCCUGGAACUAGGAAGUGGAACAGGAGCUUUAGCCAUUUUCCUGCAAAAAACAUUUGGAGUGGAUAUCACGACUUCUGAUUAUGAUGACAAGGAUAUUGAAGAAAACAUAGCUCACAACUGCAGAGUCAAUAAGUUGGAUGUGUUACCUCAUAUCCGACACACGUGGGGAGAUCCAUUUCCGAUUCUCCAACCUGCUUGGAACAUUGUCAUCGCCAGUGACAUUCUAUUAUAUGUGAAACAGUACCCGAACCUGAUAAUGACGCUGUCCUUUCUUCUGGAAGAAUCCGAUCUUAACAGCCAAAAAGGUGUAUGCACAAACAUCACGACCAAAGCAGGAACACAAGUGGCUGCCAGGUGCCCCAUGUUCCUGAUGAGCUGGCGUAGAAGGAUUGGGAAAGACCAGUCGAUUUUCUUCGAUGGAUGCGAGAAGGCAGGCCUGGAAGUGCAGCACCUGGGUGAUCUCGUGUACCUCAUCAACAAGAAACGCUGA